AUUGAACGCUGGCGGCAUGCCUUACACAUGCAAGUCGAACGGUAACGGGCCUUCGGGUGCCGACGAGUGGCGAACGGGUGAGUAAUACAUCGGAACGUGCCCCAUCGCGGGGGAUAACGAGGCGAAAGCUUUGCUAAUACCGCAUACGAUCUACGGAUGAAAGCAGGGGACCGCAAGGCCUUGCGCGGGCGGAGCGGCCGAUGGCAGAUUAGGUAGUUGGUGGGAUAAAAGCUUACCAAGCCGACGAUCUGUAGCUGGUCUGAGAGGAUGAUCAGCCACACUGGGACUGAGACACGGCCCAGACUCCUACGGGAGGCAGCAGUGGGGAAUUUUGGACAAUGGGCGCAAGCCUGAUCCAGCCAUGCCGCGUGCAGGAUGAAGGCCUUCGGGUUGUAAACUGCUUUUGUACGGAACGAAAAGCCUUCUUUUAAUACAGGAGGGUCAUGACGGUACCGUAAGAAUAAGCACCGGCUAACUACGUG
rnacentral:rRNA from 1 species